CAGCCGCCACGGUAAUACGAAGGGUGCAAGCGUUAAUCGGAAUUACUGGCGUAAAGCGUGCGCAGGCGGUUGUGUAAGACAGGAGUGAAAUCCCCGGGCUUAACCUGGGAACUGCGCUUGUGACUGCACAGCUAGAGUAUGGCAGAGGGGGGUGGAAUUCCACGUGUAGCAGUGAAAUGCGUAGAGAUGUGGAGGAACACCGAUGGCGAAGGCAGCCCCCUGGGCCAAUACUGACGCUCAUGCACGAAAGCGUGGGGAGCAAACAGGAUUAGAUACCCCCGUAGUCCCUGUCUCUUAUACC
rnacentral:rRNA from 1 species